rnacentral:rRNA from 1 species
CACGUAGGAGGCGAGCGUUGUCCGGAAUCAUUGGGCGUAAAGAGCGCGCAGGCGGCUUGGCAAGUCGGGUGUGAAAUCCCGGGGCUCAACCCCGUGACUGCAUCCGAUACUGUCAGGCUAGAGGUAGGUAGGGGAGACCGGAAUUCCUGGUGUAGCGGUGAAAUGCGCAGAUAUCAGGAGGAACACCGGUGGCGAAGGCGGAUCUCUGGGCCUUACCUGACGCUCAGGCGCGAAAGCUAGGGGAGCGAACAGG